CGUCAGCUCGUGUCGUGAGAUGUUGGGUUAAGUCCCGCAACGAGCGCAACCCUUGCCCUAUGUUGCCAGCGGAUCAUGCCGGGGACUCAUGGGGGACUGCCGGUGAUAAACCGGAGGAAGGUGGGGAUGACGUCAAGUCAUCAUGGCCCUUAUGUCCAGGGCGACACACGUGCUACAAUGGCCGACACAAAGGGCAGCAAUACCGCGAGGUGGAGCGAAUCCCAAAAAGUCGGUCCAAGUUCGGAUUGGAGUCUGCAACUCGACUCCAUGAAGCCGGAAUCGCUAGUAAUCGUAGGUCAGCCAUACUACGGUGAAUACGUUCCCGGGCCUUGUACACACCGCCCGUCAAGCGAUGGAAGCUGGGGGUACCCGAAGCCGGUGGCCUAACCUUCGGGAGGGAGCCGUCGAAGGUAAACUCAGUGACUGGCGCUAAGUCGUAACAAGGUAGCCGUAGGGGAACCUGCGGCUGGAUCACCUCCUUU
rnacentral:rRNA from 1 species